GCAGCGGAAAGAGAAAAUAUUUUGUUCCAUUCACUAUGCGAGAAUUUGAUUUGGAGAUUCGAGAUCGAAAGGGAACAGAGAAUCAGGUUGCAGAUCAUUUAUCCAGGCUG